AGAUUAAGUUAUUAAGGGCGCACGGUGGAUGCCUUGGCACUAGAAGCCGAUGAAGGACGUUACUAACGACGAUAUGCUUUGGGGAGCUGUAAGUAAGCUUUGAUCCAGAGAUUUCCGAAUGGGGAAACCCAGCAUGAGUUAUGUCAUGUUAUCGAUAUGUGAAUACAUAGCAUAUCAGAAGGCACACCCGGAGAACUGAAACAUCUUAGUACCCGGAGGAAGAGAAAGAAAAUUCGAUUCCCUUAGUAGCGGCGAGCGAAACGGGAAGAGCCCAAACCAACAAGCUUGCUUGUUGGGGUUGUAGGACACUCUAUACGGAGUUACAAAGGACGACAUUAGACGAAUCAUCUGGAAAGAUGAAUCAAAGAAGGUAAUAAUCCUGUAGUCGAAAAUGUUGUCUCUCUUGAGUGGAUCCUGAGUACGACGGAGCACGUGAAAUUCCGUCGGAAUCUGGGAGGACCAUCUCCUAAGGCUAAAUACUCUCUAGUGACCGAUAGUGAACCAGUACCGUGAGGGAAAGGUGAAAAGCACCCCGGAAGGGGAGUGAAAUAGAACCUGAAACCGUGUGCUUACAAGUAGUCAGAGCCCGUUAAUG
rnacentral:rRNA from 2 species